GACAGAGGUGCCAAGCGUUAGGCGGAAUCACUGGGCUUAAAGCGUGUGUAGGCGGACUUGUAAGUACCUUGUGAAAUCCCACAGCUCAACUGUGGAACUGCUCGGUAUACUGCUUGUCUUGAGCCACUUAGGGGCUGUCGGAACAAACGGUGGAGCGGUGAAAUGCGUAGAUAUCGGGAGGAACACCGAUAGCGAAGGCAGCUCGCUGGGACGGUACUGACGCUGAGGCGCGAAAGCGUGGGGAGCAAACAGG
rnacentral:rRNA from 1 species